CGCGGCCUAUCAGCUUGUUGGUGAGGUAACGGCUCACCAAGGCUACGACGGGUAGCUGGUCUGAGAGGACGAUCAGCAACACUGGAACUGAGACACGGUCCAGACACCUACGGGUGGCAGCAGUCGAGAAUCAUUCACAAUGGGGGCAACCCUGAUGGUGCAACGCCGCGUGGAGGAUGAAGGCCCUAGGGUCGUAAACUCCUGUCAUAUGAGAGUAAGGCAUAUGUGUUAAUACCAUGUAUGUUUGAUAGUAUCAUAAGAGGAAGGGACGGCUAACUUCGUGCCAGCAGCCGCGGUAAUACGAAGGUCCCGAGCGUUAUUCGGAAUCACUGGGCGUAAAGAGUACGUAGGCGGUUUGGUAAGUCAGGUGUGAAAUCCCGGGGCUCAACCCCGGAACUGCAUCCGAUACUCCCAGACUAGAGUAAUGGAGGGGUGACUGGAAUUCUCGGUGUAGCAGUGAAAUGCGUAGAUAUCGAGAGGAACACUCGUGGCGAAGGCGAGUCACUGGACAUUUACUGACGCUGAGAUACGAAGGCCAGGGUAGCGAAAGGGAUUAGAUACCCCUGUAGUCCUGGCAGUAAACGGUGCGCGCUUGGUGUGGGAGGAUUCGACCCCUUCCGUGCCGGAGCUAACGCGUUAAGCGCCCCGCCUGGGGAGUACGG
rnacentral:rRNA from 1 species